GAUGAAACAACGCUAGCUGUGAUCAAGAAGAAGAGGCGCCGAAUUCAACCUUCACCUUGUGAGAGUGAUGAUGAUGAUGAUGAUGAUGAUAUAACUGGCAAAUUUCCUCCUGACCACAUGACAAGUUCUGCAGAAUCGCCAGCGUCAGGAGCGCCCAGGAACUCAAGAAGUCGCUCCCCGUUACCGAGGGUGUCCAGGGUCAUGGAAAAUUGCACCCCAGCAGCUAGGGCGUCCAGGGACGAGAGGCACACUCCUACACCAAGGGCAUCCAGGGAUGACAGGUGCACCCUGGCCCAUACGUCAUGGGACACGCCCACUCCCAGCACCUCAAGAACGCAGGAAACUCCGGAUAUAUAUAUCCCAUGAGUGUAGCUAAGUUCCAGAAAAAAGUCAUUCAGCUGCUGGUACAAAUCCGCAAUGGUGUGAACAAUAUAGCCUGCCAGCAGUCUGAAUCUUCCCAUCAGAACAUAGAGCC